rnacentral:rRNA from 1 species
AUUGAACGCUGGCGGAAUGCUUUACACAUGCAAGUCGAGCGGCAGCGCGGGGGCAACCCUGGCGGCGAGCGGCGAACGGGUGAGUAACAUAUCGGAACGUACCCAGUCGUGGGGGAUAACUAUCCGAAAGGAUAGCUAAUACCGCAUACGACCUGAGGGUGAAAGCGGGGGACCGUAAGGCCUCGCGCGAUUGGAGCGGCCGAUAUCGGAUUAGCUAGUUGGUGAGGUAAAGGCUCACCAAGGCGACGAUCCGUAGCUGGUCUGAGAGGACGACCAGCCACACUGGAACUGAGACACGGUCCAGACUCCUACGGGAGGCAGCAGUGGGGAAUUUUGGACAAUGGGGGCAACCCUGAUCCAGCCAUUCCGCGUGAGUGAAGAAGGCCUUCGGGUUGUAAAGCUCUUUCAGCAGGAACGAAACGGUGGUCCCUAAUACGGGCUACUAAUGACGGUACCUGAAGAAGAAGCACCGGCUAACUACGUGCCAGCAGCCGCGGUAAUACGUAGGGUGCGAGCGUUAAUCGGAAUUACUGGGCGUAAAGCGUGCGCAGGCGGUUAUAUAAGACAGAUGUGAAAUCCCCGGGCUUAACCUGGGAACUGCGUUUGUGACUGUAUAACUCGAGUGUGGCAGAGGGGGGUGGAAUUCCACGUGUAGCAGUGAAAUGCGUAGAGAUGUGGAGGAACACCGAUGGCGAAGCAGCCCCCUGGGUCAACACUGUCGCUCAUGCACGAAAGCGUGGGGAGCAAACAGGAUUAGAUACCCUGGUAGUCCACGCCCUAACGAUGCGAACUAGGUGUUGGGGAAG